rnacentral:ncRNA from 1 species
AGGGCGAGUAUAAGCGGUCAGGGCCAUUGGUCCGGGACAUUGCUCGGCAA